GCCCUUAGCACAAUGGUAGUGCAUCUUACUCCAGAUCAGAAGGUUGUAUGUUCAAGUCACAUCAGGGUG
rnacentral:tRNA from 1 species